UAUGUUUAUAAUAAUCAUAAGGUGGUCUUUAUCUGUUCUGUGUCUAUAUGUUUAUAAUAAUCAUAAGAUGAUCUUUAUCUGUUCUGUGUCUAUAUGUUUAUAAUAAUCAUAAGGUGGUCUUUAUCUGUUCUGUGUCUGUAUGUUUAUAAUAAUCAUAAGGUGGUCUUUAUCUGUUCUGUGUCUAU